rnacentral:rRNA from 1 species
UACGAAGGGGGCUAGCGUUGCUCGGAAUCACUGGGCGUAAAGCGCACGUAGGCGGACUCUUAAGUCGGGGGUGAAAGCCCAGGGCUCAACCCUGGAACUGCCUUCGAUACUGGGAGUCUUGAGUAUGGUAGAGGUCGGUGGAACUGCGAGUGUAGAGGUGAAAUUCGUAGAUAUUCGCAAGAACACCAGUGGCGAAGGCGGCCAACUGGACCAUUACUGACGCUGAGGUGCGAAAGCGUGGGGAGCAAACAGG